UGGGGAAUAUUGCACAAUGGGCGAAAGCCUGAUGCAGCAACGCCGCGUGAGUGAUGAAGGCCUUCGGGUUGUAAAGCUCUGUCUUUUGGGACGAUAAUGACGGUACCAAAGGAGGAAGCCACGGCUAACUACGUGCCAGCAGCCGCGGUAAUACGUAGGUGGCAAGCGUUGUCCGGAUUUACUGGGCGUAAAGGAUGCGUAGGCGGAUUUUUAAGUGAGAUGUGAAAACCCUAAGCUUAACUUGGGGACUGCAUUCAUACUGGAAAUCUAGAGUGCGGGAGAGGAGAAUGGAAUUCCUAGUGUAGCGGUGAAAUGCGUAGAGAUUAGGAAGAACACCAGUGGCGAAGGCGAUUCUCUGGACCGUAACUGACGCUGAGGCAUGAAAAGCGUGGGUAGCAAAACAGGAUUAGAUACCCUGGUAGUCCACGCCGUAAAACGAUGAGUACUAGGUGUAGGAGGUAUCGACCCC
rnacentral:rRNA from 1 species